AAAGAGAACAAUCAGCGACUUGUUCCACCCGGGGUAGAACUUGGCAGGAACUCUCGGAAUCGCUGUCACCACCUUUUCCACUCCAAGGCAGUUCAUAAAUGUCUACAUUUCCACGGCACGUCUUGGAGGCUGCACGAGGGAGAGAGAACCGGUAACCCUCAUACCUACAGGCCUUCCAGAAAAAAGCCCUGUGAGCACUGACUAUCUCCAGGUCUUGCCCCACCAUCACUGCUCAAGCCACUGCAACCUGGCAGUGUUUGGUCCUCUUAACCAGAGGGGUGGAGAGGAAGAUGGGAGAUGCCUGACAGCUGGAGUCAGGAGAGCUGGGAGAGCCCUGACCCUGGUUCCUAAAGAGAAGUGGCACCGAAGAAUGUUCCUGAAUACAGCUCUGCAAGAUUGCAGGUGCUGCAAAGGCAGGGGCUGUGCCUGUCACGCUGACCAUCAUGUCCUAAGCUGCGUGUCUCACACAUGGUACAUUUGAAGUAACAAGAAAACACAGUAACUAGGAAACAGAAGAUGAGAUGAAAGCAAUCAAUUUAACUGUGUCAGAAAUCACAACAUAUUUAAAUAGGUUAAUUUCCUAUAUUAAACUGCAGAUGUUUAGGACUUAAUUCUCCAUUUCUUGGAAUCCUUAAGAAGACAUACUGUUACCCAGAAGGCCUUUAUAGUUUUGCAAUGUGUAAAAUAAGCAUCAGCCCAGAGCAGAGAAGCAGAAGUUUGCAAUCCAAGGGCAAUGUGAUGAGCUGAGUUGUGUUCCCCCAAAUUCAUGUGUUGAAGCCCUAACUCCCAGUACCUCAGGAUAUGACUGUACUUAGAGAUAGGGCCUUUAAAGGGGUAAUUGAGUUAAAAUGAGGCCAUUAGGGUGGGCUCUAAUCCAAUUUGUCUGGUGCCCUUAUAAGAACAGGAAAGUUGGACACACAGGAGACACCAGGGUGUGCGUGCACAGGGGGACAACUGCGUGACAACACAGGGAGAUGGCCGUCUGCAAGCCAAGGAGAGAGGCCUCAGGAGAAACCAACCCUGCCAACACCUGAUCUCAGCUUUCUCGCCUCCAGAACUGGGAGAAAUAAAUUUCUGUUUUUUAAGCCACCCAUCGUGUGGUGUUCUGUUACGGCGGCCCUAGGAAACUAAUACAGUCAUGUACAAGAACGUCGGGUGCUGACAGGUUAUGGGCAGGUUACCAAAGGCAUCUGCUACAGGGGCCAACUCAUUUCAUCAGAUUCUCAAGGGGGCGAUGAUCUCCCAAAGUUAGAGUCACAUCGUAGAGAUUUCAUAACUCAGGGUGGAGAUAGAGAAAGGUAGAAAGUGCCCCUCACCCCAGCUUCCAAGGCUGCUCACCCUGACUCAUUUGCCCGGCGGGAAGAGAACCCACUAGAAGGUAGUGUGUGGGGCAGAGGCUCAUCUCCUAUAAACAACCAAGGAGCUGCAAUGUGAGGAUGUGAGAAAAUUUAGGAAGUAACUGCGUAAAGGAAAACCCUAGGGGCCUUGAGUCAUCGGGCUGAUCCUGUGCUGAGUACUUCAGAGUUAUGAUGAACUUUAACCUCCAUAUGGGGAAGAGGAAAAUAAAAUAAAAUGAGGCUACCUGGGAGGGGGGGUUGUCUUCUCUCCUUCUGCCCCUUCUGGGGAAGCCAGGGGCAUGAGGAGAUACCUGCCAAGGGGGCUUCAGGGAAAAGUUCAGUUGGGUCGCUUCAGUUUGGGCCACUUUGUUUAAGAAUGAUCAAUAGCAGUUAUUAACCUCGCCGGUAGAAAGUAUUUCCAAUUCCUGGAGCUCUCCUGCUGUCGGGGAUAUUAAUCCAGCCACCUAGGCUGAAGAUACAAAUUUGAGAGCUUUCAGCAGAUUGAUGGCUUCAAAUCCAUGGAAAUGGAGUGAAAAUCCUAGGAGAGGGUGGGCACAGAAAAUAGAAGAAAGUCCAUGCAUUAAUCGUGAAAGACAAACCGAGUUAUCAAAAAAAAAACCCUUCUGCAUCUCACAGGCUUAAAAUAAAGGUGUGUUUCUCACUUACUUCACAAUUAGUGACCGAGACGUAUGGCCCUGCCUAGAUGUCCGGGGCCUGGGGACUGAGGCCAUCCUGUGUAUCCAGGAAGACAAUGGAUUGGCUUGGUGGACACACAGCAUCAUCUCUGCCACAGUCCAGGCCCGGGCUUCCAUCAAAGGAAGUUGAGACAGGAAGCCCGUGUGCAACGUGACAGCCUGCAGAGAGCUUUCAACCCAACAUUCCCUGGAAGGUGUGAGACCCUGAAUGUAUGGCCUUCUGGACCCCGUACACAGUCAGGUGGUCUGGCUUCAUUUCCUGCUUCGUUCACGACAUCACUUCCAUCUCUGUUUUUAAAAAAAUUUAAUGUUUCGUUUUUAUCAUUUUAUCCUAUAAAGCUAUAAAAGCAGUUGAGGCUUGAGCCACGUUUUUUUAAAUUAAUUUUUAUUGGAGUAUAGUUGUUUUACAAUGUUCUGUUAAUUUCUGCUGUACAGCAAAGUGUGAGCCACAUUUUUUGUUUUAAAUAAAUUUCCACACAAUUACUUCCAAUUACAUGACCUUUUCACAAUUCUUUCCUUUUUCUGUUAAUUAUGUUCCAGUAAAAAUUCUUUGCUUAAGACCAUAAGUAUUUUUUUCCAAUGCUUGGUUUAUGCAAAAAGUAAUAUGGUUUCCAAAAUAUUUUUUCUUUAUAUUUCACGUGACUAUUUUUCAUAUCUUUUCAUAUCUUUCAUAUCUUUUAGCUGGUUAUUUUGUAGAUACUUACCUCCAUGUCUCUAAAUAAAAUGCUUUCUUGAUAUUUCAUUAUAAAGUCAAUCUCCUGGAAGAUGAUGAUUUACCUUCAUCCUUUCCCAGCCUCCACCACCACACACAUCCAUUUCCCAUCAUCCAUCCUCCCAACAUAAAUACCUUAUAUGACAAUUUAGGUUAGAUCGUCAUUAUUUUCAUUAUUGUGACUCUGUAAUAUAGUCACACCUCUGCUGUGUAGUAAACUAUAAUCAUUUUACUUUCCCACACAACUUUUUAUUUUCAAUGGAGCUAAUAGUUUUUACUUUUCGAUGUUCUUAUUCAACUGCAAGCUUCUCACCAGUCAUAUUAAUCUCAUCACAAGACAUUCAGAAAUCUCAGGUUUAGACAGGUUGCUCUCCACACUUGGGAUCUCCCUUCAUCAUCCUCAUCUUGGGAAUUCCAUCUCUUACCUGUGUGGCACCUUCUACGUCCUCUAUACCAUAUAUAUAUUCUUCUCUUAGUUUACUUUUUCAUUUCGAUGGAGCACAUUACCAAGAAGCUUCUGGAGGUAAAUUUUUAGAGUGCUUGUAUAUCUGAAAAUGUCUAUAUUAUACCCUCACACUUGAGUGACAGUUUGGCUAGGUAUAGAAGUUUAGGUUAGAAAUUAUUUUCUUCAGAAGUUGAGGCAUCUCUCUGUCAUCUUCUGGCUUUCAUUGGUACACUUGAAAUGUCUGGAGACAUUCUGAUUUCUGAUUCUUUAGUAUGUGACCUGUUUUUUUUUGUCCCCUCUGGAAGCUUGUAAAAAAAUUGAUUUUUUUCUCUAGCAUUUUGGAAUGCAAGAUAUGAGUCUAUUCCUCCUCAAUUCUUUCUUUAGGGAACUCCUAUUGUGUAGCUGUUGAACCUGCCAGCCAGGUUAAUUUUUAAAAUCUCUUUUCUCCUACUUUCUAUUUCUUUUUUUUUUACUAUAGUUUCUGGGAAAUUUCUUCAACGCCCCCCCCAUGAGGGGCUACAGAAACAGAAUGACCCAUUGCUCUGUUCCUGUGCCUCAUGGACCACCUGGAGCUUUCCAGGGCCAGUGAGAGGGGCUGGAGGGGGCUGUCCAAUUACGGGAGGACCCUCCCUCCCCUUGGUGGAGGGGGAUCCCCAAGAGACAGGGGGACCCUGAGCCACACCUCACCAACCAUAUGGCUGAGGAGGAGGAGGGGGAGGGCCAAGGGGGCAGCAAGAAGAGCAGUCAAUAAUAACCCUCAUGGCUAUGCCUGGCCAGGAGAGCACUGAGUCACCACACUGAUCACUGCAAGUGAGGAUGUUCCUCUGCUUAAUUCAUCUGGAAAGCCCAGCUACAAAGAUAGGUGCUUUCCCCGCUCCCCAGCCUGAUCUGAGAAACAGAGGGGGGUGUCUAGGUUGCUGGGCGUCCAGGUUGCUGGACACCAGCUGCCACCCUCACUGCCCUGGGGUGCUGUGGAUUGGAGGGGGCACCUCACAGGUUCUCCCCGCCACCUCCAAACUCACACAGAAGGGUAGAGCUGUGGGCUGCUAUAGCCCAGAAUCCUGAACCCGUCCUGCGUCCCACGCCCAUGAGAGCAACCAGAGAUCAGUGUGUUAGCAUCAUUGCUAACAUGCUAACAUGAUGCAGUCCUGCCUCACCAGCAUGAGCAAUCAGCUCGUGUGGACAGUGGGCCAAUCUGGCAUAGAGGUGGGGGUUGGGGACAAGGAGCUGGGGAGGGUGCUGUUGGGAGGGGCAAUCUGCCAUGGGUUUUGAACUCGCUGCACGUUCUGGGCGUCUCGACAAUGCAAAGUCCUGUGUUAUCUUUACCCAGGCUGUUUCUCAGGGUACUUCAUGGAGCCACCUCCAGGGAUGAGGUAUUGAUCCCCUCUGGAAAAAGAUCAGGCUUGUGCCAGCUCGCUGUCAUUCCCCAAGCUCUGUGUUCCCUCCAAGCCUAGCACCUGGGUCCGGUGGAGUCACUGUCUGGGAUUUAGGAGCCAUGCUGCUUGCUGUGCCAUAAUCAUCAGUUCUUUGUCUGUGUUCCGGAGCUGUCCUGUCUUCUGUCACAUCCAUGAAACAUAACAGGCUAAUUUAUUGGCUUGCAAGUAGAGUUCAAUUCCAGAGUCUGACAAACACCUGCCCCAGGGGAUGGUCUCACGCCCCUCCCCUGCCUGCAUCUGAUUCUCUGCUGGCAGUGUGUGUCGGGGGUACUUUGUGUGCUAAGCUGAUCAACCCACCUGAGUGCACCCCAGCCAUGGAUAUGUCAGUGCACUCUUAGGAAACCAGGUCCACCGUUCCAGGGAAAACAGUCAGGAUGAUCCAGCCCUCACUGCAGGCCUCCUGGAGCUCUUGUGGGGGACACCACACACCUUCACUUUAGUAAGGUCCAAACCCGGCAUUGACACUUGGGUUGGUGUUUCUUAGACUCUUAGAGGUAAUAUCCCGUUUAGCCACAAGAGGAGCCUAUCGGUGGGCUGGGAGAGGGAAAUCAGCUCGGUGGGCACUCCUGAGUCGGCUGAAUAGAAUCUCUUUCUUUCUUUUUUCAUUGAAAUAUAGUUAAUGUAAAAAGUACUGGCUUAUAUUUUUGUGACCUUCAGAUUGUCAUGCAACGAUGGGCCCAGGACUAGCUUAUCUCCCUUCUCUCCAGGUCACGUAGUAUCCCCGGCCCAGUGCUGUCGAAUUCGAUUCUCUGGGGAGAUUUUUUUUUUUUUUUUUUUUUUUUUGCCGUACGCGCGUCUCUCUCUGUUGUGGACUCUCCCGUUGCGCAGCACAGGUUCC